rnacentral:misc_RNA from 1 species
AGCUAUCAUUUUCCUAAGACGAUUGGGGGUCCACCCAAGCCGAUUUCCGGGGCGCUUCUGCUAGUUGCUUCGCUGCACGGUGGGAGAGCCUACGUGAUCGGUAACCGGUAUCCUCCAACUGAGGGGCGUAUGGUGCAGUGCGGGCCGGCGUUCAGCGUCGCGAACUCCCUCUCUGCCCCGGACCGUUCCUUGGGAAACUCAGUGGGGGCAAUUGGAUGGCCCGUGGAUUCUUCGGCGGCUUCGGCCCCGGGGGCUUCCCGGGCUGGGCGUCGGGCUUCGGCUCGGCCUCCAACCUUGUAAAUAUCCUGAUCAUCCCUUCGGGGGUGGGGUGUGACUAGGCGUGAUCGCUCCUCGAGGGUGUGCGACCGAACUCUUAAGAUAGU